UUUAGAUAGAGCAAAGGAAUGAGCAUGAUGUAAUAACAUGGUGUUGUGGAGUAUACAAUUCCAUGUAAGCACCAUAAUUGUUAGCGACAUUGAUCAUUUUACUAAAAGUGUUUAUCUACACUACUUCAAAAACACAAAUCAGUUUGUGAACCAUGGUGGUGGCCUGGGUGCUUAAUAAAAUAGCUGUGGCAAAUCAGGUCAGCCCUUUAAAAUAACCCACACUACAUAAUGCUGUUUAUAUAACAUGUUUCUUUUCAUGAUGCACUAAUACAGCUAAUAAUGAAUUCACCUCACUACGGGGUACCAAUCAUUUAUUUGUUUUUUUGUUAGGGAAAUGGUGACCUCUUACAAGACCCAAGUGAAAGAAGACAGGAGACUCUGAUGGUCUUUAUCAAACCAGUGGUCCCAUGUUGCACUCCCAUACUGAAGGCUGGAGGAUUAUCUUAGCUGUGCCAUGGAGCUAGGAGAGUUGUGUGUGGUAGUGGGGCCUCCAACGGGGCUCCACCCCGGCUGAGAGGGAGGUGCUGUCCUCCAUCCUAUGUCAGGAGGAGCAGGAGGUCCAGACCUGCUCCCCAGCCAUGGUGCAGACUGCCUGUGUUCAGAGAUCCACUGUGCUCACACAUUCCCGGAGGAAGACUGGCCAACAAGGGUCAGUGUUCCUUUUCAGUCUCCUCUAUUUGAGUGACACACAGUACUCUCUGACAACACUACUAUCAUCUCUGUUUUCAUUACUGUUGAAAAUAACACCCAUAGUAACAUUGCAAUAUUAUUUAAAGGCCCAGGGGCAGUCAAAAAAUAGAUUUUCCUUUGUUUCUAUGCAUUUUCACUAAGGUUGGAAUAAAACUGUGAAGUUGUAAGAAUGCUAAUGCCCUUUUAAUAUAAGAGUUGUUUGAAAAUGCAGCUGGAGAUUUCAGCCUGUUUUGGUGGGAUAGAGUUGUGGCCUGCCUGGUGACAUCAACAGGUGGUAUAUUAGCUCAUAGACCAAUAAGAAAGAGAGUUCCAAAACACUGCCAAUAACAGCUAGUUUUCAGUAUUCCUCUCCCCACAGACUAAUCCCAGACAGUCCUAAUACAAUUCUUCCUUGAGAAACUGCUCUUUGCAAAGAAGCUAUUUUUGUUUCUUUUUGACCAUUUCAAUUGGAAACAAUCACAGAAAGGUACUUCAGUGUUACACAAAAUGAUUCUAUAAUGAGAUAACGUCUGCAUUGGACCUUGAUAGGACCUGAGGUGUUAAAGGAUGUCCAGUUCGUAUUCUUGUGUGUGACAGAGACCUCAUACUCCCUCUUCAUGUUAGUCACCAUCAUCCUGGUUCAAUUAUAUGAAAAUAUAAUGUAUGUAUAGAUAUACAAGAAAUGUCUGUACUGGUCAAAUGCAAAAGUACAUCAUGAGAAAUUUCACUUUUUUACUGUGGUGCUUGUAAUCUGAGUACUUUUGAACAUUUGCCCUCGGUGUGCAUAAUACUUUUAUUUUGGCUGAAAUUCCCUAUUUUGCCAACCUGAUACAGUCAUUAGAUGCUUUCUGUACACAUAACUAAUCUAACAAGUAAAUAAGAGGACAUCACUACUACUACAUUAGUGUGUUUAAGACAAGGAUGUACAUUUUAUGGGAGGGUACAUGAAAAACUCUCAUCGCUAUAAUAAUACAGUUGAUAUUUGUACAUCAAACUUUUCAGGAAAAUGACAUUUUGUGCAUAUAUUGUAUGGUUUUAUUUUUCCUAAUUUGCGUUGCUUGACAUUGUAUGAUAACAAGGCUGUCUGAAUAAAGACGCUAUUGUCUA